rnacentral:rRNA from 1 species
GACGAACGCUGGCGGCGUGCUUAACACAUGCAAGUCGAAGAUAGUGGCGAACGGGUGAGUAAUACGUGGGUAACCUGCCCUCCUUUUUGGGAUAAGCCUUGGAUACGGGGUCUAAUACCGAAUAAAGGGGGAUGGGCUCGCGGCCUAUCGGCUUGUUGGUGGGGUGAUGGCCUACCAAGGCGGUGACGGGUAGUCGGCCUGAGCGGCGGACCGGACAAAGUGGGACGGGGAUAAGGCCCAGACGCCUACGAGGGGCAGCAUUGGGGGAUAUGGAACAAGGGGCGAAAGCCUGAUGCAGCGACGCCGCAGGGGGGAUGAAGGUUUUCGAGUUGUAAACCUGGGUCGGUAUCGAACGGGUAGGUGGAGAAGAAGCGCCGGCUAACUACGUGCCAGCAGCCGCGGUAAUUC